AAACGAAGAAGAAAUAAAACUUCUUCAGUAAGUGUAAGUUGUCGUAAAGUUCGUUUUAUUUUCUCUCAGAGCUCAGAGGAUAAAGAAAUGAAAACUGACUUGAACUUUUGAGUUCUCAAGAGUGGUGUCGGCAUCUGGAAGCAGUAGAAAUCUUGUCUGGAAGAUAAAGCCAUCUACAUCCUUCUGCUGAGGCAUAAAUUUCCAUUCCAUCUAUCUAAUGCAUUGGGCACAGUUCGAUCUUGGUCGGUCUUCCACCUCAUUCAGGUGUUC